CCCUUAGAUGUUCUGGGCAGCACGCGCGCUACAAUGGUCUUCGCAAACGGAUGCAUUCUCGAAGGAGAAUGCCAAUCUUGGAAUCUAUGCCUUGGUCGGGACAGUUGCUUGCAAUUUUUCGACUCGAACCAGGAAUUCCUUGUAAUCGUGAUUCAUCACAUCACGAUGAAUACGUCCCUGCCCUUUGUACACACCGCCCGUCGCUCCUACCGAUCGAAGAGUUAGGUGAAUUGUUUUGAUCGAUAAGAUUUGACUAUGGUCAACUCUCGUUGUGAAAUUCUGUGAAUCUGACUGUUUAGAGGAAGGAAAAGUCAUAACA
rnacentral:rRNA from 1 species